rnacentral:rRNA from 38 species
AAAUGACUCUCGGCAACGGAUAUCUCGGCUCUCGCAUCGAUGAAGAACGUAGCGAAAUGCGAUACUUGGUGUGAAUUGCAGAAUCCCGUGAACCAUCGAGUCUUUGAACGCAAGUUGCGCCCGAAGCCAUUAGGUCGAGGGCACGCCUGCCUGGGCGU